rnacentral:rRNA from 1 species
CGCCCUUGGGUGCAGCAGGCGCGAAAACUUUGCAACCCUUUAAAGCCUGACAGGGCUAUCCCAAGUGCCAUCCGCUGAGGAAGGCUUUUACCCAGUCUAGAACGCUGGGGGAAUAAGGAGAGGGCAAGUCUGGUGUCAGCCGCCGCGGUAAUACCAGCUCUCCGAGUGGUGUGGAUGUUUAUUGGGCCUAAAGCAUCCGUAGCUGGCUAAGUUAGUCCCUUGUUAAAUCCACCGAAUUAAUCGUUGGAUCGCGGGGGAUACUGCUUGGCUAGGGGACGAGAGAGGCAGACGGUAUUUUCGGGGUAGGGGUGAAAUCCUAUAAUCCCGGGAAGACCACCAGUGGCGAAGGCUGUCUGCUAGAACGCGCCCGACGGUGAGGGAUGAAAGCUGGGGGAGCGAACCGGAUUAGAUACCCGGGUAGUCCCAGCUGUAAACGAUGCAGACUAGGUGUUUGAACGGCCACGUGCCGUUCUAGUGCCGCAGGGAAGCUGUUAAGUCUGCCGCCUGGGGAGUACGAUCGCAAGAUUGAAACUUAAAGGAAUUGGCGGGGGAGCAC